AGCAGCCGCGGUAAUUCCAGCCCCAAUAGCGUAUAUUAAAGUUGUUGCAGUUAAAAAGCUCGUAGUUGAAUUUCGGGAUUAAUUUACUGGUCGUGCUAUUGUACGUACUGGUUUUAUUGAUUCCUCCCUUCUGACGAACUAUGAUGUCAUUAAUUUGGUGUCUUAGGGAAUCAGGACUGUUACUUUGAAAAAAUUAGAGUGUUUAAAGCAGGCUCAACGCUUGAAUACAUUAGCAUGGAAUAACGGAAUAGGACGUUUGAUUCUAUUUUGUUGGUUUCUUAGGAUCGACGUAAUGAUUAAUAGGGAUAGUUGGGGGCAUUAGUAUUCAAUUGGUCAGAGGUGAAAUUCUUGGAUUUAUUGAAGACUAACUACUGCGAAAGCAUUUGCCA
rnacentral:sRNA from 1 species